rnacentral:tRNA from 1 species
GUCCCUGUAGCUUACACCAAAGCACGGCACUGAAGAUGCCAAGAUGGAUGCCCACAUUCCCAAGGACA